GUGGACCGCAUCAGCUCAUAGCGUAUAUUAAGUUGUUGCAGUUAAAAAGCUCGUAGUUGAAUUUCGGGAUCAAUUUAUUGGUCGUGCUAUUGUACGUACUGGUAUUAUUGAUUCCUACCUUCUGACGAACCAUGAUGUCAUUAAUUUGGUGUCAUGGGGAAUCAGGACUGUUACUUUGAAAAAAUUAGAGUGUUUAAAGCAGGCACC
rnacentral:rRNA from 1 species